UGUUCGAAAAAAGAUAGAUGGUUAUUUUGGCCAACUUGUGUUCAUGCAAUGAAAGCUACCUAUAAUAAUUUUCCAAUCGUUGAUUCCUGCAACAAGCUUAGACUAAAAAGAGUUAAAGUAACUGGAGUUACUAAUAGAUAAAGAAGUAUGUGCAGGAUUUAAUUUCACAACUUCAGAGGACUCUUAAGAAGAAUUAAAGUUCUGGUGGAUCAAAGAUCGAGGAAUGAUUUGGUUUUAACUGGUUUGCAUCUUAUGAACGAAGUACAUAAUAUGAUUUAUAGUUACACCUAUUGAAAUUCUGUAUCUCAAUGAUAUCCUGGCUUAUCUAUACAAAAUCCACUCACAAACAUAAAUUUUAC
rnacentral:lncRNA from 1 species